rnacentral:rRNA from 1 species
GUGGGGAAUAUUGGACAAUGGGGGGAACCCUGAUCCAGCCAUGCCGCGUGUGUGAAGAAGGCCUUUUGGUUGUAAAGCACUUUAAGCGAGGAGGAGGCUACCGAGAUUAAUACUCUUGGAUAGUGGACGUUACUCGCAGAAUAAGCACCGGCUAACUUUGUGCCAGCAGCCGCGGUAAUACAGAGGGUGCAAGCGUUAAUCGGAUUUACUGGGCGUAAAGCGCGCGUAGGUGGCCAAUUAAGUCAAAUGUGAAAUCCCCGAGCUUAACUUGGGAAUUGCAUUCGAUACUUGUUGGGUAGAGUAUGGGAGAGGAUGGUAGAAUUCCAGGUGUAGCGGUGAAAUGCGUAGAGAUCUGGAGGAAUACCGAUGGCGAAGGCAGCCAUCUGGCCUAAUACUGACACUGAGGUGCGAAAGCAUGGGGAGCAAACAGGAUUAGAUACCCGGGUAGUCC